CAGAGCGAGAGAAAGAGCGAGUGGAAGUGAGAGAGGAAGAGAACGAAACAGGGAGGUUAUCGUAAGCAUAUUUUCUCAGAUCUGAACUUGUUUCCUUGAUUUAUCGCGAGCAUCGAGCAGGACAUGUUGGGAAAAAGCUGAUACUAAGGAUUAUAUAUUGAUGUUCUUUGGAAGUGUUGGAUCAUGUAUGCAUGGUGCUGCGCUUUCUGUUUUCUUCAUUUUGUUUGGUCGGAUGAUUGACCUCCUAGGACACAUGUCUUCAGAUCCUCAUAGAUCAUCUUUGGUGGUUUCCAAGACGAGAGGUUCGGCAACUUGCAUUCCUCGUUUGAAUGGAAUUUAGCCUGUGACAUUGGUGACAUGAGUCCAUUAUUAACUGCAUCUUGGAUCCCUGAAGAAUUUCCAUACAAUUGAUGUCCAGCAUUAGCAUUUGACUACAACCAUUCUCAGAUUGUUGGCUUCUCAACUGAUGGAUUUUCGACUACAACUACCAUGAGAAGAUUGAAUCUCAUAUGGGUGACAGCCCGAAUGCACAUUGAAGUCUACAAGUACCCUGCUUGGAGUGACGUGGUUGAGAUUGAGACAUGGGGCCACAGCGAAGGAAGAAUUGGGACCAGACGCGUCUGGAUUAUCAGAGAUUACUCCAAUGGCGAAGUCAUUGGUAGAGCAACAAGCAAGUGGGUGAUGAUGCAUCAAGAUAGUAGAAGAUUUCAGAAAGUCAGUGAUGAAGUCCGCGAUGAAUAUUUAGGUUUCCGCCCAAAAACCCCGAGGCAAGUCAAGCCAGCGAUUGAUAUCUUAUUCCCAGAUUAAUUUCUGGUGAUCAUAAUAAAUUUUGUCUGCCCUCUUUUGUUUUUGAUGAUACAUUGUUUGAUUACUAUCUGGGCAUUCUGUUGUGUUUCUCAAAUUCGCAUUUCCUGAAGAAGACAAUUACAUCUUAAAGAAGAUAUCGAAGUUAGAAGAUCCUGCUACCUUUUCCAGUCUCGGCCUUGCGCCACGAAGAGUUGAUCUGGACAUGAACCAACAUGUAAACAAUUUCGCUUACAUUGGAUGGAUUCUGGAGAGCAUUCCGCAGGACGUGAUCAACACCCAUGAACUACAAACUAGCUGCUGCAAUUGAUAAAAUUAAGAAAAAGGAAGGACUUGGGAUUUUACCUUUGUUCAUUUCAGUUGAUCUGAAAGGGAUAAUAUCGAACAACUUAGUGAAUAUAUUAAAGGUUUUGUACACACCUAACACCUCACAGGAGAAGGAAGAGCCAAAUUUACUUGAAAAUUUAAGGCCCAAAUUUAAUAUUCAGUUUGUUUAUAGAAGCAAAUGUUCAUGUAAAUUUAAGGACCAAAUUUCCUAUAGAAUUUUCUUGCAA